UUCUGCAAAAAUGGCCUAAUUUCUGUUAAGAAUAUACUUGGUUCUCUCAGUUUGUAUGUAGAGGUUUGUUCUGCGGAUACGUAUUAAUACUGUUUAUAAAUUGUAUGUUAGUUAGGCAAUAAGUUAGUGAAUAUGUUAGCUGUACUAGUAGUACUGUGCCAGACACGAGUCUGAGAAUGAAGCGAUUCCACCUACUAAGAUGUAUCAGGCUGGAAGAUGUAACUGCAAUUCGAAACAACGAAUAAAAAACCCCAUGGUAUUUUCUUUCAACCUUAUCGAUAGAUGAGACAGUGAGACAAUUUUAUUGCUUCAAAACGGGAAAAAUCAGAAACGAGUUUGGCACUGAAAUUCAUGGCUCACGCAUGUGGGUUUUGAUUGGGUAAACGUCUGUUGUUUACGAUAUAACAAGUGCAAAUGUUUAUUAGUAGAAAUGUGCUUGCGUUUUCAUCAAAAUUAGUCAGGUAGUGUCGGUGCGUCGGAUCGUGAUAAAAGAAGAACCACGACCAUCUAUACGAAGCUAGGCCCAGACGACUCUGUGUUGCAUCUUGUGCCAAUUCUAAACAUCUUCCCAUUGAAUUCAUGUCAUAUAAAACAAAUAUUGGAAAUAAAUAUAGUUUAUACAGGAAAACAA